UACAGAGGGUGCGAGCGUUGUCCGGAAUCACUGGGCGUAAAGCGCGUGUAGGCGGCCCAGCAAGUCGGAUGUGAAAGCCCUGGGCUUAACCUAGGAAGUGCAUUCGAAACUGCUGGGCUUGAGUUCUGGAGAGGAAGGCGGAAUUCUCGGUGUAGAGGUGAAAUUCGUAGAUAUCGAGAGGAACACCGGUGGCGAAGGCGGCCUUCUGGACAGUGACUGACGCUGAGACGCGGAAAGCGUGGGGAGCAAACAGG
rnacentral:rRNA from 1 species